rnacentral:rRNA from 1 species
GACGAACGCUGGCGGCGUGCUUAACACAUGCAAGUCGAACGGAAAGGCCCCUUUGGGGGUCCUCGAGUGGCGCACGGGUGAGUAACACGUGAGUAACCUGCCCUUGACUUCGGGAUAACUUCAGGAAACUGGGGCUAAUACCGGAUAGGAAUCCUUGCUGCAUGGUGGGGGUUGGAAAGCUUCGGCGGUUUUGGAUGGACUCGCGGCUUAUCAGCUUGUUGGUGGGGUAGUGGCUUACCAAGGCUUUGACGGGUAGCCGGCCUGAGAGGGCGACCGGCCACAGUGGGACUGAGAUACGGCCCAGACUCCUACGGGAGGCAGCAGUGGGGAAUAUUGCACAAUGGGCGGAAGCCUGAUGCAGCAACGCCGCGUGCGGGAUGACGGCCUUCGGGUUGGAAACCGCUUUCAGCAGGGGCGAAGCUUGUGGUGACGGUACCUGCAGAAGAAGCACCGGCUAACUACGUG